GGACUACUUGGGUAUCUAAUCCUGUUCGCUACCCACGCUUUCGCUCCUCAGCGUCAGUUACUGCCCAGAGACCCGCCUUCGCCACCGGUGUUCCUCCUGAUAUCUGCGCAUUUCACCGCUACACCAGGAAUUCCAGUCUCCCCUGCAGUACUCAAGUCUGCCCGUAUCGCCCGCAAGCUUGGGGUUGAGCCCCAAGUUUUCACGGACGACGCGACAAACCGCCUACGAGCUCUUUACGCCCAGUAAUUCCGGACAACGCUCGCACCCUACGUAUUACCGCGGCUGCUGGCACGUAGUUGGCCGGUGCUUCUUCUGCAGGUACCGUCACUCUCGCUUCGUCCCUGCUGAAAGAGGUUUACAACCCGAAGGCCGUCAUCCCUCACGCGGCGUCGCUGCAUCA
rnacentral:misc_RNA from 1 species